rnacentral:rRNA from 1 species
AUUGAACGCUGGCGGCAGGCCUAACAAAUGCAAGUCGAACGAGUGGCGGACGGGUGAGUAAUGUCUGGGAAACUGCCUGAUGGAGGGGGAUAACUACUGGAAACGGUAGCUAAUACCGCAUACCAUCAGAUGUGCCCAGAGGGGAUUAGCUUGUUGGUGGGGUAACGGCUCACCAAGGAGACGAUCCCUAGCUGGUCUGAGAGGAUGACCAGCCACACUGGAACUGAGACACGGCCCAGACUCCUACGGGAGGCAGCAUUAGGGAAUCUUCGGCAAUGGACGGAAGUCUGACCGAGCAACGCCGCGUGAGUGAAGAAGGUCUUCGGAUUGUAAAGCACUUUAAGUUGGGAGGCGUUACCAACAGAAUAAGCACCGGCUAACUUCGUGCCAGCCGCCGCGGUAAUUC